AAUCUUUUAUAGUUUAAAAAAAACAUAAUAUUUUCACUAUUAAAUUAAAAAUUCUUUUAAAAGAUUU
rnacentral:tRNA from 1 species